UACGGGGAGGCAGCAGGGGGGAAUAUUGCACAAUGGGCGAAAGCCUGAUGCAGCUAUGCCGCGUGUAUGAAGAAGGCCUUAGGGUUUGUAAAGUACUUUCAUCGGGGAGGAAAAAACAAAACUAAUAAUUUUAAUUUACUUGACGUUACCCGAAAAAGAAGCACCGGCUAACUCCGUGCCAGCAGCCGCGGUAAUACGGAGGGUGCUAGCGUUAAUCAGAAUUACUGGGCGUAAAGAGCACGUAGGUGGUUUUUUUAAAGUCAGAUGUGAAAUCCCUGGGCUUAACCUAGGAACUGCAUUUUGAAACUGAAAUACUAGAGUAUCGUAGAGGGAGGUAGAAUUCUAGGUGUAGCGGUGAAAUGCGUAGAUAUCUGGAGGAAUACCUGUGGCGAAAGCGGCCUCCU
rnacentral:rRNA from 1 species